rnacentral:tRNA from 1 species
GCGGCAGUAGCUCAGUUGGUAGAGCACUUCUGUAUGGCAUCGUAAAAGCGUGUAAGGAACCAUACAGAUGUUGUCGGAGGUUCAAAUCCUCCCUGUCGUA